ACGUACGCACACACACACAAAGAAAUAUAUUUACUAUAAUUUCCAACUAAGAAAAAACAAUACACCAAUCACAGCUAUCAUAUAAAUAACAGAAUGCAAUUCAAACUUGUACCGAAUUUUAACUAAACAAUCACGACGCAAAACAUUAUCAGCAUUGCAAUUAAACUAAGCAAGAUGAACGUUGCAUUUACAGGCAACGCUACGUAAACCCUAACAGAAUCCUACUCAUAAAUAUAUGCUGAAUUUUUGAUCCCACAAACAGUAAUUCUCCUCCUCGCACCCUCUACGUGGCUCAUCAAGUUCCUCCACCACCAUAACACUGGGCACGUCAGCUUUGUUUCGUCAGUCAGGGGGAAAGAUUCUAUGGUGCCCAAGGUGGUGUUUCGUCAGUCAGGGGGAAAGAUUCUAUGGUCCCCAAGGUGGUGUUUCGUCAGUCAGGGGGAAAGAUUCUAUGGUGCCCAAGGUGGUGUUUCGUCAGUCAGGGGGAAAGAUUCUAUGGUGCCCAAGGUGGUGUUUCGUCAGUCAGGGGGAAAGAUUCUAUGGUGCCCAAGGUGGUGUUUCGUCAGUCAGGGGGAAAGAUUCUAUGGUGCCCAAGGUGGUGUUUCGUCAGUCAGGGGGAAAGAUUCUAUGGUGCCCAAGGUGGUGUUUCGUCAGUCACGGGGAAAGAUUCUUUGGUGCCCAAGGUGGUGUUUCGUCAGUCAAGGGGAAAGAUUCUUUGGUGCCCAAGGUGGUGUUUCGUCAGUCAGGGGGAAAGAUUCUAUGGUGCCCAAGGUGGUGUUUCGUCAGUCAAGGGGAAAGAUUCUAUGGUGCCCAAGGUGGUGUUUCGUCAGUCAAGGGGAAAGAUUCUUUGGUGCCCAAGGUGGUGUUUCGUCAGUCAAGGGGAAAGAUUCUUUGGUGCCCAAGGUGGUGUUUCGUCAGUCAAGGGGAAAGAUUCUAUGGUGCCCAAGGUAGUGUUUCGUCAGUCAAGGGGAAAGAUUCUAUGGUGCCCAAGGUGGUGUUUCGUCAGUCAAGGGGAAAGAUUCUUUGGUGCCCAAGGUGGUGUUUCGUCAGUCAAGGGGAAAGAUUCUAUGGUGCCCAAGGUAGUGUUUCGUCAGUCAAGGGGAAAGAUUCUUUGGUGCCCAAUGUGGUGUUUCGUCAGUCAAGGGGAAAGAUUCUAUGGUGCCCAAGGUAGUGUUUUGUCAGUCAAGGGGAAAGAUUAUUUGGUGCCCAAGGUGGUGUUUCGUCAGUCAAGGGGAAAGAUUCUAUGGUGCUCAAGGUGGUGUUUCGUCAGUCAAGGGGAAAGAUUCUUUGGUGCCCAGGGUAGUGUUUCGUCAGUCAAGGGGAAAGAUUCUUUGGUGCCCAAGGUGGUGUUUCGUCAGUCAAGGGGAAAGAUUCUUUGGUGCCCAGGGUAGUGUUUCGUCAGUCAAGGGGAAAGAUUCUUUGGUGCCCAAGGUGGUGUUUCGUCAGUCAAGGGGAAAGAUUCUUUGGUGCCCAAGGUGGUGUUUCGUCAGUCAAGGGGAAAGAUUCUUUGGUGCCCAAGGUGGUGUUUCGUCAGUCAAGGGGAAAGAUUCUUUGGUGCCCAAGGUGGUGUUUCGUCAGUCAAGGGGAAAGAUGUUGUGAUGUCCAAGGUGAUGUUGGUGGCCAUCUCCGUUGUUCCUAGCCAGAGAUUAUUUGAUUCUGUGUGAUGAGCGAUGUAGGGUCUCUGCACUGAUUUUGAUGCCUAGUAGGUUGAUGUUGACUACCCUCUCUGCUGACCCGGGCAGAGAUAAUGCUUUGUCUGACGAAUGGAUCGGGAGUUUGUUGAGAUAAUCUGGCAAAAUCAUCUACCCUUUAAAGAAAGUCCCGU